UACGGAGGGAGCUAGCGUUGUUCGGAAUUACUGGGCGUAAAGGGCUCGUAGGCGGCCAACUAAGUCAGACGUGAAAUCCCCAGGCUCAACCUGGGAACUGCGUCUGAUACUGGAUGGCUUGAAUCCGGGAGAGGGAUGCAGAAUUCCAGGUGUAGCGGUGAAAUGCGUAGAUAUCUGGAGGAAUACCGGUGGCGAAGGCGGCAUCCUGGACCGGCAUUGACGCUGAGGAGCGAAAGCCAGGGGAGCAAACGGG
rnacentral:rRNA from 1 species